AUUGAACGCUUGCGGCAGGCCUAACACAUGCAAGUCGAGCGGCAGCGGAAAGUAGCUUGCUACUUUGCCGGCGAGCGGCGGACGGGUGAGUAAUGUCUGGGAAACUGCCUGAUGGAGGGGGAUAACUACUGGAAACGGUAGCUAAUACCGCAUAACGUCGCAAGACCAGAGAGGGGGACCUUCGGGCCUCUUGCCAUCAGAUGUGCCCAGAUGGGAUUAGCUAGUAGGUGGGGUAACGGCUCACCUAGGCGACGAUCCCUAGCUGGUCUGAGAGAAUGACCAGCCACACUGGAACUGAGACACGGUCCAGACUCCUACGGGAGGCAGCAGUGGGGAAUAUUGCACAAUGGGCGCAAGCCUGAUGCAGCCAUGCCGCGUGUAUGAAGAAGGCCUUAGGGUUGUAAAGUACUUUCAGCGGGGAGGAAGGUGUUGAGGUUAAUAACCUCAGCAAUUGACGUUACCCGCAGAAGAAGCACCGGCUAACUCCGUGCCAGCCGCCGCCGUAA
rnacentral:rRNA from 1 species